CCUACGGGUGGCAGCAGUGAGGAAUAUUGGUCAAUGGACGAGAGUCUGAACCAGCCAAGUAGCGUGAAGGAUGACUGCCCUAUGGGUUGUAAACUUCUUUUAUAAAGGAAUAAAACGAGGCACGUGUGCCUUUUUGCAUGUACUUUAUGAAUAAGGAUCGGCUAACUCCGUGCCAGCAGCCGCGGUAAUACGGAGGAUCCGAGCGUUAUCCGGAUUUAUUGGGUUUAAAGGGAGCGUAGAUGGGUUGUUAAGUCAGUUGUGAAAGUUUGCGGCUCAACCGUAAAAUUGCAAGUGAUACUGGCAGUCUUGAGUACAGUUGAGGUAAGCGGAAUUCGUGGUGUAGCGGUGAAAUGCUUAGAUAUCACGAAGAACCCCGAUUGCGAAGGCAGCUUACUAAACUGUGACUGACAUUGAUGCUCGAAAGCGUGGGUAGCAAACAGGAUUAGAUACCCGAGUAGUC
rnacentral:rRNA from 1 species